rnacentral:rRNA from 1 species
GCAAUGGGCGAAAGCCCUGAUGCAGCAACGCCGCGUGAGCGAUGAAGGCCUUCGGGUCGUAAAGCUCUGUCCUCAAGGAAGAUAAUGACGGUACUUGAGGAGGAAGCCCCGGCUAACUACGUGCCAGCAGCCGCGGUAAUACGUAGGGGGCUAGCGUUAUCCGGAAUUACUGGGCGUAAAGGGUGCGUAGGUGGUUUCUUAAGUCAGAGGUGAAAGGCUACGGCUCAACCGUAGUAAGCCUUUGAAACUGGGAAACUUGAGUGCAGGAGAGGAGAGUGGAAUUCCUAGUGUAGCGGUGAAAUGCGUAGAUAUUAGGAGGAACACCAGUUGCGAAGGCGGCUCUCUGGACUGUAACUGACACUGAGGCACGAAAGCGUGGGGAGCAAACAGGAUUAGAUACCCUGGUAGU